rnacentral:rRNA from 1 species
UUGAACGCUGGCGGCAGGCCUAACACAUGCAAGUCGAACGGUAACGGGAAGCAGCUUGCUGCUUCGCUGACGAGUGGCGGACGGGUGAGUAAUGUCUGGGAGGCUGCCUGAUGGAGGGGGAUAACUACUGGAAACGGUAGCUAAUACCGCAUAAUGUCGCAAGACCAAAGAGGGGGACCUUCGGGCCUCUUGCCAUCGGAUGUGCCCAGAUGGGAUUAGCUUGUUGGUGGGGUAACGGCUCACCAAGGCGACGAUCCCUAGCUGGUCUGAGAGGAUGACCAGCCACACUGGGACUGAGACACGGUCCAGACUCCUACGGGAGGCAGCAGUGGGGAAUAUUGCACAAUGGGCGCAAGCCUGAUGCAGCCAUGCCGCGUGUAUGAAGAAGGCCUUCGGGUUGUAAAGUACUUUCAGCGGGGAGGAAGGGAGUAAAGUUAAUACCUUUGCUCAUUGACGUUACCCGCAGAAGAAGCACCGGCUAACUCCGUG